rnacentral:lncRNA from 1 species
GGCUAAGAGAACAAGGCCUCUCCCUGCCUGAUCUGGCUGCAAGUGAGCAGCUGCUGGCUUGCCAUGGACGUCGUCUGGGGGAACUCACUCCUCUGCGUUUGCCAUUCAACCAUAUUUCUGUUUGAAGAUGUGUUUCUGUUUUCCUUUUAGUUCUGUAUGUGUUUAAAACCUAAACUACUCACAGAAAAUGCAAACUGCUCCUGAACACCCACAUCCAGGACAUGUUAGUGAUCUAGGCUAACCUUCCAUCUCAACCCGCCAAGUGCUGGAUUACAGAUGUGCACCACCUGGCAGAGGGCUGGAUUACAGAUGUGCACCACCUGGCAGAGGGCUGGAUUACAGAUGUGCACCACCUGGCAGAGGGCUGGAUUACAGAUGUGCACCACCUGGCAGAGGGCUGGAUUACAGAUGUGCACCACCUGGCAGAGGGCUUGCCUUAUUCUUCUGACACUCAUCAUUUUCUUCAAGGAAAGGAAAUGACACUGUAUAUGUGUGCUGCAUUUUCUUUGCUCCUUCCCGUCCUUGGGGACUCCAGUGACGAGUGUGACAAGGACUGCUGCCAAGAAAACAUCUUAGAAGUGUUGAUUUGGAGUUCUUUGGGGGUAAAAAGAGAGCUGGCCAAGCAUGAGCAGGAAGGAACAGAAGAGUAAAAGUUGUGGUCAGAAGUGGCACCAGCGUCCUGAGCAGCAGGAAACAAGAGCCAACCAGAUGAAAUGAUAAGACACCAGGAGGCAGUGUGGCCCAUAGAGUUGGUAGGUUUAGUAGCUCGAAACUAAUCUCUUCAAUAUCCACCAUAUGGAAGCAAGCUAGAAGCCUGUCGACUGCUCAAUGGAAAAAAGAAAAUGAGGUAUAUAUACUUCAACAAAGGAAUUCUGUUCAGCCAUAAAGAAUAAUGAAAUUAUGACAUUUGU